CAGUCGCCGCGGGAAUACGUAGGGUGCAAGCGUUAAUCGGAAUUAUUGGGCGUAAAGCGAGUGCAGACGGUUACUUAAGUCUGAUGUGAAAGCCCCCGGCUCAACCGGGGAGGGUCAUUGGAAACUGGGAAACUUGAGUGCAGAAGAGGAGAGUGGAAUUCCACGUGUAGCGGUGAAAUGCGUAGAGAUGUGGAGGGACACCGAUGGCGAAGGCAGCCCCCUGGGCCAAUACUGACGCUCAUGCACGAAAGCGUGGGGAGCAAACAGGAUUAGAGACCCCUGUAGUCCCUGUCUCUUAUAC
rnacentral:rRNA from 1 species